GCGCCCCGGCGAUGUCCCGGCUCUUCGUGUUGCCUAUCGCUGGUCGCCGGUGGGUUUCGACCGACAACAAGAAGCCAUGAGAAGCAUGAAUUCAUCCAAGUGGACUGCAGCCAUGGAAGAUGAAAUGAAAUCUAUGAGUGCCAAUAAAGUUUUGGGACUUAGAAAAAAUUCCUAAAGGAGCCAAAACAGUAGGCUGCAAAUGGGUCUACAAGACGAAAUGUGACUCCAAAGAGAACGUAGAAAAAUUUAAAGCGCGACUUGUGGUGAAAGGCUUCACGAAAAGAGAAGAGAUAGAUUACAAUGAGACAUUUUCACGAUCUCAUGUAAAGAUUCUUUUAGAAUAAUUAUGGCCUUAGUCAUUAUGAUCUAGAAUUACAUCAGAUGGAUGUGAAGACGACAUUCCUGAAUGGGGAUUUAUAUGAAAAUUUUUACAUGGCACAGCCGAAAGGUUUUGUCAUGGAAGGCAAUGAAAACUUAGGGUGCCGCCUGAAGAAAUCGAUUUAUGGCUUGAAGCAAGCCUCAAGGCUGUGGUAUUUGAAAAUUGAUGAAACAAUAGGAAAGUUUGGAUUUAAAGAAAAUGAAGAGGACAAUGGCAUUUAUGCAAAGUUCAAGAACGGAAAAUUCAUUUUCCUCAUCUUGGAUGUGAAUGACAUUCUGCUAGCUAGCAGUGAUGUUGAUCUACUACCGGAGACAAAGAAAUUCUUGUCCUCGAAGUUUGAUAUAAAAGAUCUCGGUGAAGCUUCAUUCAUUUUAGGAAUUAAGAUUCACUGAGACAGAAGAAAUGGGAUGUUAGCAUUAUCACAGAAGGCAUACCUAGAAAAGAUAUUAAACAAAAUAUGGUAUGCAUAUGAGCAAACCCACACCUGCUCCAAUAGCCAAGAGCGACAGUUUCAGGAAAUAUUAGUGUCCCAAGAACAAGUACGAGCUCGAAUAAAUGAAGGCAGUGCCUUGUGCUUUAGCUGUUGGAAGCUUACAGUAUGCACAAAUGUGCACACACCCUGACUUGAGUUUUGUUACCGGAAUACUUGGCAGAUACCAGAGUGAUCCAGGCAUAGAGCACUAGAAAAUGGUAAAGAAAACUUUACGCUAUGUGAAGGGUACAACAGGCCUCAUGCUGACAUAUACAAAAACAGAAUCAUUAGAAAUAGAAGGAUAUUCAGAAUCAGACUUUGCAGGAGAUGCGGAUGAUAGAAAAAUCCACGUCUGGAUAUAUCUUCACUCUUGUAAAAGGGAGCGAUAUCUUGGAAAAGCUCCAAGCAGUCAGUCAAAACAUCAUCCAUGAUGUAUGCUGAAUUUGUAGCAUGUUAUGAGGCCUCAGGGCAGGUCACAUGGCUUAAGAAAUUAGUACCCGGAUAGAAAGUGGUCGACAGCGUAGAAAAACCACUGAAAUUAUACUGUGGCAACAAGCCAGCAGUAUUUUGUGCUCAUAACAACAAGUCGAGUGGUGCUGCCAAACACAUCGACAUUAAAUUUUAUGUUGUUAUGGAGCAGGUCCAAGAUCAAAUGAUUUGUCUAGAACAUGUCAGAACAAGCAAGAUGUUAGCGGAUCCGCUUACAAAAGGCCUACCACCCAAAGUGUUCAAAGAACACUUAGCCGGCAUGGGUUUAAGGGAAAGCCUAUGAUUCUUGGACAAAGAUAGCCCAAGAAUAAGACUCUGUUCCAGACCGGAAAGGUUAACGUGGCUGUCAAUCUGACGGUAAUAACUGUCAUGACGAGUCACGCCCUAUACACUGAUCUGCGAUGGGAUGGACCAAAUUCAGAUACAGAACAAGAAUAAGAACAAUGAGGGAUCAAGGGGGAGAAUGUUGGAGUUGAUCUCCACGGGCCCGAUCCAAAGAUCGGGCCGGACCCCUUGAACACGCCCUGAUCGGGGGCGUCCAGCCCAUAUGGCUGGUGGGCCCCCGUCGCUCGCGCUAUAUAGAACGGGAGAGGGGCCGGGGCACGCGACACGAGAUUCACCACAGCCACAACCCUCUCCCACAUCCCUACCGAUCUAGGGUUUGCGCGAGGCCGACGGGAAGCUCCGCCAGCGUCCUCUCUACUCCACCACGACGACCGGAUCCGCCACAGUGCCGGUGGAGGGCCGGAGGGUUUCCGCUACCCAUGUCGACCACCGUCGCCGCCGGACCCGCGCCUCGACGGCCCGAGCUCCUCUGCGCCAUCAGCGCCAUGGCCUCCGCCUCCUCUGCACCACCCGCCGCUGAUGGUCUACGCCUCCUCACCUCUCUCUCUCUCUUGUAGUAGAUGAAGGAUGAACAACUUGUUUCACUACUCAGAAUGUUUCCCCAUACCCGAUUUGUUUGCCUAGAAUAGAUCUUGUACAGAAUCUCAGAAAGAUUGAACCUAACACCAAGGAGAGGACGCGCACAAGAUCGCUCAUAUUCCAGAGGUCACAUUAGAGUAGCUGAUGGUUAAUUCCCACAUCAUCAAUUACGUGUCAAGAUCUAGCAUGGUUGGUCGUUGUUGUUGGGCCGGCGGGAGGAUAUAUAGCAAGAUCUGCUUCAUUCGGAACGGAGGGCAAAGCCUUGCCAAACUCUGAAGAAAAUGGAUGAUGGGUAAAUAUAUUAUGUGCUCAUUGUAAACUAGUCGUAUUAUGUGUUCAUAGACAAGCCGAAGUUUGUCUGGGUGAAGCAAACGCUGUCGUGCUGCCUUCCACGACUGGAUAUGCUUGGGACACGCAUUAUGCAAUUGUAUAGUGCUUGCACAGUUACAUGCCUGCAUUAGCUUGUACCUCAUGGCUGCAACUGCAAACAUUCCGGACCCAUUUUCGGUUAUUAGCAGGCUAUCCCAUUAAUUACCUGCAGCCCACAUUUUCUUGCGACCCCGCGAACGGCGUCAGCAUGCUGCGCAACGGCGGCGCUGUGAAGCUUUUCUAGUGUUGCCGUGCAUGCAGUCGGCAGUCACAGCAACACCAGCCUGUGUGGCUCACCGUGAUUUCAACCAGUUUGCAUGAGUUUCUUCUCUUCAAUAUAAAGACCAGUUUGCAUGAAUGGAGCGAGAGACAAGGCGAAGGUUGAGAAGAAUUGAGAUGAUCUUCGGUCCGUCUGAUUCUUAUCUGGGCGUGUUGCUUGUUCCUUCUACUUUCUGCCAUGUUGGUUUAAUUAAGCAAUUUGUUGAGCUAGCUGCGCAUUCCCAGAGAAGUUUUACACAAUACCACUCUGUAAUA